GGCUCAGGAUGAACGCUAGCGGCAGGCUUAACACAUGCAAGUCGAGGGGCAUCGGGAGUAGCAAUACUGCCGGCGACCGGCGCAAGGGUGCGUAACGCGUGAGCAACAUGCCCGUAUCAGGGGGAUAAUCCAUGGAAACGUGGUCUAAUACCCCAUAGUAAUUAUGUAAGGCAUCUUAUAUAAUUUAAAGCUUUGGUGGAUACGGAUUGGCUCGCGUGACAUUAGCUGGAUGGUAAGGUAACGGCUUACCAUGGCUACGAUGUCUAGGGGUUCUGAGAGGAAGGUCCCCCACACUGGAACUGAGACACGGUCCAGACUCCUACGGGAGGCAGCAGUGAGGAAUAUUGGACAAUGGAUGGAAAUCUGAUCCAGCCAUGCCGCGUGCAAGGAAGACGGCCCUAUGGGUUGUAAACUGCUUUUGUAUGGGAGCAAUAAGGGCUACGUGUAGUCCGAUGAGAGUACCAUACGAAUAAGCACCGGCUAACUCCGUGCCAGCAGCGGC
rnacentral:rRNA from 1 species